ACGCAAUCCGGCGAACAAUACUCUCAAAGUUUGACCUCAAAUCAGGUAGGAAUACCCGCUGAACUUAAGCAUAUCAAUAAGCGGAGGAAAAGAAACCAACCGGGAUUGCCUUAGUAACGGCGAGUGAAGCGGCAAAAGCUCAAAUUUGAAAUCUGGUACCUUCGGUGCCCGAGUUGUAAUUUGUAGAAGGUAACUUUGGGGCUGGUCCUGUCUAUGUUCCUUGGAACAGGACGUCAUAGAGGGUGAGAAUCCCGUGUGGCGAGGAUCCCAGUUCUUUGUAAAGUGCUUUCGAAGAGUCGAGUUGUUUGGGAAUGCAGCUCUAAGUGGGUGGUAAAUUCCAUCUAAAGCUAAAUAUUGGCGAGAGACCGAUAGCGAACAAGUACAGUGAUGGAAAGAUGAAAAGAACUUUGAAAAGAGAGUGAAAAAGUACGUGAAAUUGUUGAAAGGGAAGGGCAUUUGAUCAGACAUGGUGUUUUGCGCCCUCUGCUCCUUGUGGGUGGGGGAAUCUCGCAGCUCACUGGGCCAGCAUCAGUUUKGGCGGCAGGAUAAAUCUGCAGGAAUGUAGCUUGCCUCGGUAAGUGUUAUAUCCUGUAGAAAUACUGCCAGCUGGGACUGAGGACUGC
rnacentral:rRNA from 1 species